AGGCCCUCGUGCCAUCUCCUGUAAUCAGCGCUGGGACCCGGACACCCGCUGGGCUUCCUGGAGAUUCGUUCCCUUCGGUGGGAGGCUGGGAGGAGGGGGUAUGGGGAAGCCUUUUAGCUCUUCCCCUCUCUUCCUGCCUGUCCUGCCUCCCCUCCCUCCCCAUGGCAGGGCUGAAAACUGGUAGUUGAAAAACGACUGCUCUGGACUUGAAGCAGGGACGGAAGUUCUGGUUCCCCAUAAGUCGCCACACCUGGCGAGGUCUUGGGUGGAUGGUUUAAUCUCGGCCUGGCAGAAGGAGAGCUUCAAGUCAGAGAGGUAGAGAAAAAGGCCAAGGUCAGCUGCAUGAACACAGAUGCUGAAUGGCCAGGAGAGGAAGAGCCUUGGGCUUCUGAAUCAGGAUUCCACAAUGUCCGGUUCUCCAUCUCCCUCCAAUUCUUACCUGGGUGUGGAAAAAGAAAUUGUAUGUUGAUCCAACAGGAGUCCUUUGAAGAGACCCAGAACAGCCCUGGCUCAUAUGUUCUGCCCCUGCACAGAUGGGGAGCCCCCAGGGGCCAGGCUUGGCAUCCAGAAUUAAGGGUGCAUUGGUGUCUGGCCAUCAGGCAAAGAAGGCACUGUCCACCCAGCAAGACCCCAGAGCCACAGCUCUCACAGAAAAGAAAACCCCUGGGGCUUGUGGAUGCUUCUAGGGCAGGAAGGCCUGCUGGUCAGUGCUGGAAGAGUUUGGAACUGGCUGGCAGACACAGGGUGGGGGCUGAAUGGCCUGGCCAAGUCGAGGGUCAAGCUGCCUUGGCCAGGCUCCCAUCUCCAGCCCCAGGGCCAGCUUGUGAGGUGGAGCUGAAACAUUCAGGCAGUUUCCUCUCCUUUGUUGGGAGUGAUGUCGCCCAUUUCCUGGAUGUCCAAGAACCCGGCUUCAAACAAUGGUGCUGUCAGGAAGCCAGGAAGGGGCUGCUGCCCUGUGCUUGGUCCUGCCCAUCCCUCCCCACCUCCUGAGACCUGGCCAGGCCAUCCUUUAUGCUUAUCUCUUAGUCCGGUGUCCUGCUCUGCCACCAGCACGACUGUGCUCCUGUGGACCGGCCGCCUUACUCUGCUUCCCAUCUGAAGAUGGGGGCACAUCCUCACCUAGCAGAACUUCUGUGACCGUUAGGGACAGGAACAGGAAUAGCAAAAGCAGCUAACUCACUGGGCUCAGGUAACAGAUGCUCUGGAAACUUGCCUUUUUGCAGUCAUUCAGAAAAUUCCAGCCAGCUCUAAAUGGCAGGAAUUGUCAAGGUUACUAAUUACCAACUAUGUCCAUGUGAUCACCUAUAUAUGCUAUAUGUGAAGACUGAUUCAGACUUAUAGCUUAAGGCUCAAACACAAUUGGUGGUUGGCUUUAAUUAUCAACUCCAUACAACCCAGAGUCACCUGGGGAGAACAGUCUUAAUGAGGGUUGUCUACACCAGCUUGGCCUGCGGGCAGCUCAGUCCACUGUGGGCAGUUUCAUUCCCUGAACUGGGUAAGAACGGGAAAACUGAGCUGAGAAGUAAGCAAGCAAGCGAACAAGCGAUUCUCUCUGCUCUUGACUGUGGGUGUCCAGCGAGCUCCUGCCACUGUGCCGCCCGGCGAGGAAUUACAAACUGAAACAAACCCUUUC